UCUGGGUAUAAGCUUUCGUAUGCAUGCACACUUCUUCAGAUACACGUGUAUCUGAAGAAGUGUGCAUGCAUACGAAAGCUUAUACCCAGAACA